rnacentral:rRNA from 1 species
UACGAAGGGGGCUAGCGUUGUUCGGAUUUACUGGCGUAAAGGCGCGAUGUAGGCUGCUUCGCAAGUCGGAUGUGAAAGCCCUGGGCUCGAACCCAGGAAGUGCAUUCGAAACUGCAGAGCUGGAGUCCUGGAGAGGAAGGCGGAAUUCGUCGGUGUAGCGGUGAAAUGCGUAGAUAUCGAGAGGAACACCUGCGGCGAAGGCGGGUUGCUGGGCUGACACUGACGCUGAGGCGCGAAAGCUAGGGGAGCGAACGGG